AGUGAACGCUGGCGGUAGGCCUAACACAUGCAAGUCGAACGGCAGCACAGUAAGAGCUUGCUCUUACGGGUGGCGAGUGGCGGACGGGUGAGGAAUACAUCGGAAUCUACUUUUUCGUGGGGGAUAACGUAGGGAAACUUACGCUAAUACCGCAUACGACCUACGGGUGAAAUCAGGGGAUCUUCGCACCUUGCGCGAUUGAAUGAGCCGAUGUCGGAUUAGCUAGUUGGCGGGGUAAAGGCCCACCAAGGCGACGAUCCGUAGCUGGUCUGAGAGGAUGAUCAGCCACACUGGAACUGAGACACGGUCCAGACUCCUACGGGAGGCAGCAGUGGGGAAUCUUGGACAAUGGGCGCAAGCCUGAUCCAGCCAUACCGCGUGAGUGAAGAAGGCCUUCGGGUUGUAAAGCCCUUUUGUUGGGAAAGAAAAGCAGCAGGUUAAUCCCCCGCUGUUCUGACGGUACCCAAAGAAUAAGCACCGGCUAACUUCGUG
rnacentral:rRNA from 1 species